rnacentral:rRNA from 1 species
GAUGAACGCUAGCUACAGGCUUAACACAUGCAAGUCGAGGGGAAACGGCAUUAAGUGCUUGCACUUUUUGGACGUCGACCGGCGCACGGGUGAGUAACGCGUAUCCAACCUUCCCAUGACUAAGGGAUAACCUGCCGAAAGGCAGACUAAUACCUUAUGGUCUUCACUGACGGCAUCAGAUGUGAAGUAAAGAUUUAUCGGUUAUGGAUGGGGAUGCGUCUGAUUAGCUUGUUGGCGGGGUAACGGCCCACCAAGGCAACGAUCAGUAGGGGUUCUGAGAGGAAGGUCCCCCACAUUGGAACUGAGACACGGUCCAAACUCCUACGGGAGGCAGCAGUGAGGAAUAUUGGUCAAUGGGCGAGAGCCUGAACCAGCCAAGUAGCGUGCAGGAUGACGGCCCUAUGGGUUGUAAACUGCUUUUGUAUGGGGAUAAAGUCAAUCACGUGUGAUUGUUUGCAGGUACCAUACGAAUAAGGACCGGCUAAUUCCGUGCCAGCAGCCGCGGUAAUACGGAAGGUCCGGGCGUUAUCCGGAUUUAUCGGGUUUAAAGGGAGCGUAGGCUGGAGAUUAAGUGUGUUGUGAAAUGUAGACGCUCAACGUCUGACUUGCAGCGCAUACUGGUUUCCUUGAGUACGCACAACGUUGGCGGAAUUCGUCGUGUAGCGGUGAAAUGCUUAGAUAUGACGAAGAACUCCGAUUGCGAAGGCAGCUGACGGGAGCGCAACUGACGCUGAAGCUCGAAGGUGCGGGUAUCGAACAGG